CUUAAGGACAUAUCCCCUGAGGUCAGUGCCUACUUAGAGGAGACCUUAGCAAACCGGUACAAAGAUUGGAAGUACGCUUUUCACAAGCAUUUUCAGCUAUGGGAUGAUCCGGAGAUUGCUCAUCUACAGGGUUACCCAGCUGAGUUGAAGGACUGGCUGGAGGAUUGGGAGUGGCUCUGCAAACAUUUUACGGACCCAAAAUUUGUAAAGAAAUCUGUUGCUGGCAAGAAAGCUCGGGACUCAAAGACACUUCUCCACCAUUCCGGUUCGAAGCCUUUUUCGUAUAGGCUUGAGGCACGACGUCAGGAGGGUUCUAAGUUCCCACAAAUUGACUUGUUCAAGGACGUUUACGUUCGACCCGGCAAAGAGAUCCCUGAG